UUACUUACUUGGUGCUGGGGCCUCGUUGAUCACCGAGGACGAGCCCUCAGGGCGAGGCGCGUGCAUUGCACCACGCUCAAUUGACCCCUGCCACUACCCCAAACUGCGGCAGAUGGGGCAUGCAAAUUGCUUAAAUCCGGUUCAACGCAGGAGAGACCGCC
rnacentral:snRNA from 1 species